UACAGAGGGUGCGAGCGUUGUCCGGAAUCACUGGGCGUAAAGGGCGCGUAGGCGGCUUGAUAAGCGUGCGGUGAAAGCCCGGGGCUCAACCCCGGGUCGGCCGUGCGAACUGUCGAGCUGGAGCACUGUAGGGGCAGAUGGAAUUCCGGGUGUAGCGGUGGAAUGCGUAGAGAUCCGGAAGAACACCGGUGGCGGAGGCGGUCUGCUGGGCAGUAGCUGACGCUGAGGCGCGACAGCGUGGGGAGCAAACAGG
rnacentral:rRNA from 1 species